rnacentral:rRNA from 1 species
GAUGAACGCUGGCGGCAGGCCUAAUACAUGCAAGUCGAACGAACAGACGAAGAGGUUUCUCCUCUUACGGUAGCGUCGGACGGGGGAGAGACACGUGUGUGACCUAGCUAGAAGGCGGGGGUAAACUCGUGGAACCGGUACUAAUACCGGAUAAUAUAUUGAACCGCAUGGUUCAAGAGUUAAGGGCGUUUUUGCUUUCACUGAGAGAUGAAGCCGCGUGGCAUUAGCUAGUUGGUAAGGUAACGGCUUACCAAGGCAACGAUUCGUAGCCGAUCUGAGAGGGUGAUCGGCCACACUGGAACUGAGACACGGUCCAGACUCCUACGGGAGGCAGCAGUAGGGAAUAUUGCGCAAUGGGCGAAAGCCUGAUGCAGCAAUGCCGCGUGAGUGAUGAAGGUCUUCGGAUCGUAAAACUCUGUCAGCAGGGAAGAACAAAUGUGUAAGUAAACCUGUACGUAUUGACGUUACCCACUCAGAAAGCACCGGCUAACUACGUG